UACGUAGGGUGCGAGCGUUAAUCGGAAUUACUGGGCAUAAAGCGUGCGCAGGCGGUUUGUUAAGCCAGAUGUGAAAGCCCCGGGCUCAACCUGGGAACUGCGUUUGGUACUGGCAAGCUAGAGUACGGCAGAGGGGGGUGGAAUUCCACGUGUAGCAGUGAAAUGCGUAGAGAUGUGGAGGAACACCGAUGGCGAAGGCAGCCCCCUGGGCCGAUACUGACGCUCAGGCACGAAAGCGUGGGGAGCAAACAGG
rnacentral:rRNA from 1 species